rnacentral:rRNA from 1 species
AUUGUACGCUGGCGGCAGGCCUAACACAUGCAAGUCGAGCGGGGUUUUCGGACCUAGCGGCGGACGGGUGAGUAAUGCGUAGGAAGCUACCCGAUAGAGGGGGAUACCAGUUGGAAACGACUGUUAAUACCGCAUAAUGUCUACGGACCCAAGUGUGGGACCUUCGGGCCACAUGCUAUCGGAUGCGCCUACGUGGGAUUAGCUAGUUGGUGGGGUAAUGGCUCACCAAGGCGACGAUCCCUAGCUGGUUUGAGAGGAUGAUCAGCCACACUGGAACUGAGACACGGUCCAGACUCCUACGGGAGGCAGCAGUGGGGAAUAUUGGACAAUGGGCGCAAGCCUGAUCCAGCCAUGCCGCGUGUGUGAAGAAGGCCUUCGGGUUGUAAAGCACUUUCAGUAGGGAGGAAGGGUGUUGUGUUAAUAGCACAGCAUUUUGACGUUACCUACAGAAGAAGCACCGGCUAACUCUGUGCCAGCCGCCGCAGUAAAAC